rnacentral:snoRNA from 1 species
GCCUAUGAUGAUUUAAUCCAACUUUUUUGAGGUGUUGUGGAACCAAGAUCCUGUUUUACAGGGUGAACCUACUUGGUGAAACUACAUUCAUAUGAUAUUAUUGGAUUUAACUGAGGC